rnacentral:rRNA from 1 species
GACGAACGCUGGCGGCGCGCUUAACACAUGCAAGUCGAGCGAAGCGGCGGACGGGUGAGUAACACGUGAGUAACCUGCCUUAGACAUUGGGAUAGCCUCGGGAAACCGGGAUUAAUACCAAAUGGUCUAAGAUGGACUCGCGUCUCAUUAGCUAGUUGGUGAGGUAACGGCCCACCAAGGCGACGAUGGGUAGCCGGCCGGAGGGGGCGAGCGGCAACCGUGUACGUGAGGAACGCGCCAAAAUCGACGGGAGGGGGCGCUGGGCAAUAGGGCACAAGGGAGGUAACUCUGAGGCGGCUACGCCGCGUAAAAGAAGGAUGCUUUAGAGUAGUAAAGUUCUUUUAUAUGGAAAGCCGUACCAUAAGAAAAAGCCCCGGGUAACUUCGGGCCAGCAGCCGCGGUAAUAC